rnacentral:lncRNA from 1 species
GGAAUACAUAGAGGGUCACAGACACUGAUGCCCACAUACUAGGGGCAGAUGUCUGUACAGAUUUCCACGGAAUUUUUAGUCAGAGUUGGGAAUGUGAAACAAGGCCAGGGUUUGUAAAUGGCAACAAAGAGGGAGAGACAGCGAAGUAUGCUGUAAAACGAAACUUCCAAGUUCGAAGAGCCUCUCUUCUCCUUCUACAAAGUAAGAGACCAGGCAAGUUGCUACAUCAACUUCCCAGGUCAGGUGAGGGGUCCCCCUUCUCUGCCAGGAUGGCACAACCACAGGCUGGGGAGGAAGGGCAGGGCCUCGCGGGAGGGAUCACUCACCAAGCGGCAGGACGAAGAAGAAGGGGAACCAGCAGAGCACGAAGACGCCCACGCACGAUGGCCAGCGUCUUGGCAGCCUUCUUCUCGCGGGGAGAACUUGAGGAGGCGCACUGAGAGCGAGCUGCGGAAGGUGCUGCGCGUGGUGCUGCGCGCUACUAUGUACACGCGGCAGUACAUGACCACGAUGACCGCCAUGGGAAGGUAGAAGGAGCACAGCGAAGAGAAGACAGCGUAGCCGGCCUCCUCCGUGAUGCCACAGAAACGCUCAUCCAGGGGCACGGGCUCCUUCCAGCCCAGCAGCGGCCCCACCGACACCACGAGGGCCACGGCCCAGAGCAGCGCCAGGAUGGCGGCCGCUUGCGCUCAGUCAUGAUGGCCGGGUACUUGAGCGAGUGGCGAACGCCACGUGCACGUCCACGGAGAUGGUGCACAGGCUGAGGAUGGAGGCGGUGCAGCACAGCACGUCCACGGCUGCCCACACGUCGCAGAAGGCCCGACCGAAGGCCCAGAAGCCCAGGACCUCCAUGGUGGCAGAGAACGCAGCACGGUGGUGCUCAACAGCAGGUCGGCCACGGCCAGGUUCACAAUGAAAUAGUUGGUGACCGUCUGCAGGUGGCGGUUGCAGGCCACCGAGAGGAUGACAAGCAGAUUGCCCGCCACGGCGGUGAGGAUGAAGGCUGCCAGAAACACGCCCACGCCCACGCCCUGCGCGCUCACCACCAGCCCCCCGACGGCCGCCGUGCCGUUCACCUCGCCGCCCGCGCCCGCGGCCCCGGGUUCCCCGGCCGAGCUCCGGUUGUCCUCACUGCCGCCCGCGCCCACCACGCCGCCACCGCCGCCGCCUGCGGCCCUGGCACACCGCCCACCGCUGGGCCCUCCGAGGCCGCCGUGCCGCCCGCGCCGCUCCCGCCGCCGCCAGCCCCGGAGCCCCCGGCGCUGCCGUCCGGGCGGGGUCCCUCGAAAGUGACGCUGAGGAGGUCGCGGAAAGUCAUCUCAACGCGCAGCCGUCGGGGGCCGGGCCGGGGCGCAGGACGAGCGGCGGGCAGGGAGGGGGACAGUGGGCAUUGCUGCAGGGCUCUGGGUCCAGCCCCGCGCGCCAAUCCGUCGGGGUCUUUUCCAAGUUCUUGGGACGCGGAGCCGGCUGCCCGAGCACGGAGCUGCCAGGCCGGGCGGCCGGGGACCCUGGAGCCGGCUGAGCGCUGAACGGAAGAGCGGGGCCCCGGGCCGCGCGCCGCUCUGAGAGUUCCCGGGCGAGUGGGCAGAGCGGUGGCUCCGGGACCCGGCGGUGCCGGCCUCCGGGUCACUCGCCGGUUGCCCUUGGGCGCGCGGAGCUCAGAAGGCGCGAUUCCCAGGUCUCCCGGUUCCGGCCGCCAGAGAGCAGCAAGCGUCCGGGUUCUGCGGACUGCGGGCUGGACCGCGCAGUGCCGCGGCGGGUUGCCUCCUGAGAGUACCUGGAUGAACUAUGUACCUCCUUCCUUCUCCUAGUCCAUUGAUCGAGGCACGGUCUCAGGCACCACUGCCCAGCGCGGUGGCGAGGAGAGAGCCCCGGAAGCGGCCAGAGACCAUGUGAGUGCAGCCCUCG